GUGAGGAAUAUUGCGCAAUGGAGGCAACUCUGACGCAGCCAUGCCGCGUGCAGGAAGAAGGCGCUACGCGUUGUAAACUGCUUUUAACCGGGAAGAAACCCCAGGACGUGUCCUGGGUUGACGGUACCGGAGGAAUAAGCACCGGCUAACUUCGUGCCAGCAGCCGCGGUAAUACGAAGGGUGCAAGCGUUAUCCGGAUUCAUUGGGUUUAAAGGGUGCGUAGGCGGAGCGUUAAGUCAGUGGUGAAAUCCUGCAGCUUAACUGUAGACUUGCCAUUGAUACUGGCGCGCUUGAGGUCGCUGGAAGUGGGCGGAAUGUGCCGUGUAGCGGUGAAAUGCUUAGAUAUGGCACAGAACACCAAUUGGGAAGGCAGCUCACUAAGGCGAUACUGACGCUGAGGCACGAAAGCGUGGGGAUCGAACAGGAUUAGAUACCCUAGUAGUCC
rnacentral:rRNA from 1 species